rnacentral:lncRNA from 1 species
AUACGCAUUUUAGUUUUGUUCGCUUCUGCAAAUGUUAAGGAGUUACAAAAUUUAGUUGUUCUCUAAUUUUUUUGGUGUGAAAUUUGUUUGAGCGGUAUUUUGUCAUCAUACUAGCGAAGGAAGAAUAUUAUGUCAAUAUAACCAUGUGUACUAAUAUAAUAUGUGUUAAGAUGAACCCAGUUAUCCCGUCUCCUGAAGUGUUGUGCUCAUGUU